rnacentral:rRNA from 1 species
UACGUAGGUGACCAGCGUUGUCCGGAUUUACUGGGCGUAAAGAGCGCGCAGGCGGUCGUUCAAGUCGAGUGUGAAAGCCCCCGGCUCAACUGGGGAGGGUCAUUCGAUGCUGAUCGACUUGAAGGCAGGAGAGGGAAGUGGAAUUCCCGGUGUAGUGGUGAAAUGCGUAGAUAUCUGGAGGAACACCGGUGGCGAAGGCGGCGUCCUGGACCAACACUGACACUGAUGAGCGAAAGCCAGGGGAGCAAACGGG